rnacentral:sRNA from 1 species
AGACUUUUUUCUUCAAUGCAUACUAACAAGAUUUGUAGACUAAGGCUCCGAAUGGUAAUAUCGAAUCGGGCAAUACGGGACAAGCGGAUUGAAUAGUGCAGUGCGGUUUAACUACGUUUCGUAGAAGAAAAACACAUUAGACGGGACAAGUAUGGUUAGUGUAAAACAAGUGGUACGGGAUAAUAUGUGAAUGAAGAAUAUUUAAAAUAUGGUGCGGAUAUAAUAAUUAUAAA